rnacentral:rRNA from 1 species
AGUGAACGCUGGCGGUAGGCCUAACACAUGCAAGUCGAACGGCAGCACAGUAAGAGCUUGCUCUUACGGGUGGCGAGUGGCGGACGGGUGAGGAAUACAUCGGAAUCUACUUUUUCGUGGGGAUAACGGAGGGAAACCUACCGCUAUUCCCCCAUCCGCCCAAGGGUGAAAGGCAGGGAAUCUUCGGACCUUGCCCGUUUAAUUGAGCGAAGUUGGAUUAGCUAGUUGGCGGGGUAAAGGCCCACCAAGGCGACGAUCCGUAGCUGGUCUGAGAGGAUGAUCAGCCACACUGGAACUGAGACACGGUCCAGACUCCUACGGGAGGCAGCAGUGGGGAAUAUUGGACAAUGGGCGCAAGCCUGAUCCAGCCAUACCGCGUGGGUGAAGAAGGCCUUCGGGUUGUAAAGCCCUUUUGUUGGGAAAGAAAAGCAGCAGGUUAAUACCCCGCUGUUCUGACGGUACCCAAAGAAUAAGCACCGGCUAACUUCGUG